GAUAAGGUCAUAAUUUCACACAUUUGCAUGCCUUCUUUGCUUAGUAAUUUUGUUUAGUUUCUCUUUAUUUUGAGUCUCUUACCUAUGUUUGUGUGUUUUGUAGGUUAGGACAGCAAGGGGAUCACAUUUGAUACAAUUCAUGCAUGUUAAGGGUUGAUUAGCACAAGAGGAAUAUGAGCUUAAUGACAGAACCAAUUUGGGCCACACUCCUUGUCAGUCCAAAUUCGUGGGUCAUCUUGCAGGCCUCAUUUCAGCAACCUACACUACUUGGAUGAGGAGACAUGCUUCACAGACGUUGUUCCAAUGGGUGUCUAGUAUAACAUAUCCAAAUUUCAGCCCAAUUAAUGAUAGCUAGAGUCCUUGGCCUGUCAAACACUGAACCAUGCUCUAGGAGGAUUUUAAUAUGUAGCUGCCAGCUGGUGAGCCUUGUACUCCACACCUCCCUUGAGCCAUGUGCCUCACUUCAUCAUUGUUUGACUUUGGACCUGACAUGUUGAGCAAAUUAGGGAGGCAUUUCAGUUAUGGAAGUCAAAAAGGAGCAAAACAUGGCAUGCUUAAUUAUGGAUCUUGUCUGCACAAAUCAAGGACCAUUUUUCAGGAAUUCUGGUAGGCUACACAUGGGAGACAAAUCAGUAUGGGAAGUCAAAAAGAUGAACAAAAGUCAAGCUUUCCAUAAAGAAACCAAGAAAAGUCCACCAAAGCAUUUAUUGGGCAGUUGGAAAAGUUGGCAUUUAUUGGGCAGCUUAGGCAAUUGGGAGCAGCUAAGAGAGGUGUGUUUCACCAGCCAAAGGGGAGCACGAAAUUGCACUCUAUAAAUAGAGAGUUGCACACUCAUUCAAAAGAGAGAGGGCAGACACACACAUUCACUUCAUCCAUUACUCUCAUACACAUUCAGAUUCACCACAAAGAGAGAAGGGAGCUUGGAGCUGUCCUGGGAACUACCUUGCUGCCACCAUCUAGUUCUUCUCCUCUCUUUAUCCUAUCUAUGUAUUUCUUAUUUUCUGUAUUCAUAGUUAUGUCUAACUAAUCCAUUUAGUUAGGGCUUAGGAUGAAGCCCUAGUCAUGAAUAUUCAAUGGUAUGGAUGAUUUUAUAGUUAAUUGAUUUCCUUGCUUUUAUUAUCAAGUUGUUAAUCUCCAGUUUAUUAUGUGCUUGAUGUAUGUUUUCUUGGAGUAGCUAACUAGGAUUUUAUGCAUCUAGCACAGGUUGGGAAGGGGUUUAGAUUCACCAAUUCUACUCUCCUUUCACAAGCAACACAUGAAUGGCCUAAGAAUCAUUCAAGGGGUUAACAACCAUAGGUUGACUAGGACAAAUACCAUGUUCUAGGACUUGUGUGAUUAUCAUAUUCUCAAGGAGCUUAAUGACUCUUGUAUGCUUUAUUCUAAGUAGAUACCAUGCUUAGGUUGCAUAUUAGAGAUCACGUGCUGUGUAGAUACCAUGCACAAUCACAUGCCUUAGGAGAAUGAUGCAUCCUGCACCUAGAUACCAUAGGCUUGUAUGCGAUAAUCUAUUGUUGAUGAAGCUUGAGUCAAUUUCUGUGCAUUCAUAACUUGGAUAGGAAGACUAGUGGCAGAUUCCAAGGCUCUAACACCUCUCCAUCAUUGUUUUACAACUUGUUCAUUGCUGCUAGUGUUUACUUUCGAGCACUUUCAUUUCACUUUCUUGUUUUCAUUUCAACAACAAAACCCCCCAUUUCGAGUGCGUGUGUGGUGCUAGGAUUCUGUCCUAGACCUUGAGUAAUUAGCAAGAGGCAUUGUUGAAUUUGACCUUGCCUUUAGCUAGUUAGUCAUUUUCUUUGUUCUAUGUUUUUCUAGCAUUCUAAGUAAUUUAACUUGGAACCAAGUUACCAUUCUCCGUGGGAUCGACCUCGUAUUUACAUAAGCUAUACUAUAAACGGUUCGUGCACUUGCGAGAAUUAAAGUUGCUGUUUUUAAUAACUCAUUUUAGUUGUUAAGAAUAGGCGCAACAAGUUUUUGGCGCCGUUGCCGGGGAACCGGUAAUGAUGGUGCUAUAGUUAGAUUACUUUGAUUGUUUUGUUUUUGUUUGUUUCAUUUGUUUCUUUUCGUUGGUUUUUCUUUUAGUAUUCAGCUUUUGUAUUUUGUUGUUAUCUCCAUUGAAAGCACUGAAUUGACUUCCUUGGUGUGUGCAUGUCCGAAUCUGAGCAGGAGCAAAGUUGACCUGAGCCACUUUCACCAAGAACCGCUGCUGUGCGUGCUGGUUUGAGGAGGAAUUAUAGUUCUUCAAGCGUUGAAUCUAAAAGUUACGAAUCUGAAGGUUCAAGCAACAUGGCAGAGAUUCCGAACAACAACAAUGAUGAAGGAGGUGGUGUGCUUGUUGUCCAACCAAGAAAACCCCUGCGUGAGUUUUCCAUUCCCAAAGUCACCGAUCAACCUUCAUGCAUCGUCUAUCCUCAACUCACAGUUGACAGGUUUGAGCUUAAAAGUGGUAUGAUUCAUCUUCUUCCAACUUAUUAUGGUAAUACCACUGAGGAUCCUUACAUGCAUAUUAAGCAAUUCUUUGAAAUAUGUGCUACGAUCAAAAUUCAAAACCUUGAUGAUGAGCAGAUUAAGAUGAGGCUAUUCCCAUUCAGUUUAAAAGAUAAGGCUAAGUCUUGGUUGUACUCUUUGCCUAAUGCUUCAAUUCAUACUUGGGAUGAGCUUUCUAAUAAGUUUUUGCAGAAAUUCUUUCCAGCUCAAAAGACUAACAAGAUUAGAAAGGAAAUUCUUGGUUUCACACAAAGAGAAGGAGAAGCUUUUCAUGAAUGUUGGGAGAGGUACAAGGAGAUGAUAAGUUCUUGCCCACACCACAACAUAGAGAGUUGGAUGCAAAUGCAAUCUUUCUAUGAAGGUUUGCUUGAUUCCGAAAGGAUGAUGGUAGAUGCAACAAGUGGAGAAGGACUGAUGAACAAAACAGCAGAUGAGGCUUUUACUCUCUUUGAAUCCUUGAGUGCUAACUCUCAACAAUGGAGCCACAAUAAAGGAAGAGGAGCUCCUAUGAAAGCUGUGGUCUCUGAGGUAAGUACUAAUAAUGAGAUUGCUGCAAAACUUGAUGUUAUGUGUUCUUUGCUCCAACAGGCAGUGACUGGCCCUCUAGGAAACAAAGUGGAAGUUCAAGGCCAAUCUUUUGCAGAGCACAUGCUAGAACAAGCAAAUGCCCUUCAAGCAAGGAAUCCUAAUAAUGAUCCUUACUCAAACACAUACAAUCCGGGGUGGAGAAAUCAUCCUAAUUUCAGGUGGAGCAAUAAUUCGAAUGUGCAACAAUCUCAAGGACCUCCCCCAGGAUUCCAAACACAACAAAGGCAAUUCCAGCAAGCUCCCCAACAAGUGCAAGAGCAAAGGGGUGAUCAAAUGGGAGAAUUGCAAGACAUGUUCAAGAAGUUCAUGGGGCAACAGAUGCAAACCAAUCAGAAUCUUCAAAAUGCAGUGAACAAACUAGAAGUGCAAGUUGGGCAGAUUGCAUCCUCCAUGAGCCAUAGAGCAUCCGGAACUUUUCCGAGCCAAACAGAGGUGAAUCCAAGGCAUCAUGAGCAAGUUAAAGUAGUGCACAUCUUGAGAAGUGGUAAACAAGUUGAUAAUAAGGUUGGAGAUGCCAAUGGAGAGCAAGAAGAUGGAGAAAACGUGGAGAUCAUUCAGCCACCACAAGGGCAGCCCACAGCUUCCAACAAACAGUCCCUCAAUCUUUCUGGAAAGAGCACAGGCCCUAAGGUAUCAUGUAAUGCUAAUCAAGUUCCAAUUUCAACUAAUGCUUUUAGGCCUAUUGCACCCUUUCCCAGCAUGUUAUCAAAGUCAAAGAAAGAUCAAGGCAUGGAUGAGAUAAUGGAAACAUUCAAGAAGGUGCAAAUCAACAUCCCAUUGCUCAAUGCUAUUGCUCAGAUUCCAAAGUAUGCAAAAUUUUUGAAGGAUCUAUGCACUAACAAGAGGAGAUUCAAAGAGCAUGAACAAGUUGCAUUGAGUGAAGAGGUAAGUGCAGUUUUACAAAGAAAGCUACCUCCAAAGCUAAAGGAUCCAGGUUCGUUUUCUAUACCUUGCAUUGUUGGUGAUUUCAAGAUUCCAAAAGCUUUGCUUGAUCUCGGUGCAUCCAUUAACCUUAUGCCAUAUCAUGUUUAUGAGAAACUUAACCUUGGUGAGUUGCAAGCCACAACUGUGAGCAUUCAAUUGGCAGAUAGAACUAUUCGGUAUCCCAAGGGCAUUCUAGAAGACGUUUUGGUGAACGUAGAAGGUUUAAUCUUGCCAGCUGAUUUCUUAGUCAUGGAGAUGGAAGAAGCACCAAUUCCUGACAAUGAAUUGCCCCUUAUCUUUGGCCGACCCUUCAUGGCUACUGCUAAGACCAAGAUUGAUGUAGAGCAAGGCACUCUCACCAUGACCGUUAAUGGAGAAACUGUUGCCUUCAAAGUGUUUGAUGCCCUAAAGCCAAAUGUUGUACAAGAUUGUUUUCAAAUUGAAGUAUUUGGUAAUCCAGGGAAAGAGAGAUUUGAUGGCCUUCCUUAUCCAGUAGAAUCAUGCUUGCUGAAAAGAGGAGACAAGGAGGAGUAGGGGGCAGCCCACAUGUUCAAUGCUCCAAUUCCCACACACAAGAAGGGGCUGCCCAAAUUUGGAGAUGUGAAUAUUCCAAUCAUUCCUACAAUUCAUUGUGACUCUAUUCAUCAACAGAAAAGGAAAAGAAAAGCAGCAAGGAAGCAAUGGAAAAGGAAAACAAACUUGGUGAACUCUCUUGCAUUGCAUGAGGUGUCAAUUGAGCCCAAACCCCCCCAUUCACUAUAGAAAGUUUGGACGUCUGGCUGAAGACGUGAAACUUAGCGCUUCUUGGGAGGCAAUCCAAGGUGACGAGGAGAAGAUAGAAUAUGCGAGGACGCUUGCUUGCGUCCUAAUCGCUUCAAAGGGGAGUUUUUCUGAAAUCUAACCUUUGGUUAUGUCUUUCCCUUGUCUUCUUUCCUUUCAUUUAUGAGGCAUUGCUUUUUCUUACACUCUAAACAUUGAGGACAAUGUUUCAUUUAAGUUUGGGGGGAAGGAUUUAGUUAUGUUGUUUCAAAUUGUCAAAUUUUAAAAUUUUUGAGUGUGUCUACUGUCUAAAAACGCAGGAUUUUGUGUCUUGUUUCGUUAUCCUUCCAAACACCUAUGAUAAAGACUUGGAUUUAAUACUAAUAUGGUUUUUCAGAAAUUGAUAGUCAUUGUUUAAGGACUUUGUGUGGUUCUGAGUUAACUCUGUCUUGCAUGCCAUCCUUGCACUUAUUGAGCACUUUGCCAAGUUAGUCCAACGUCUUGCUACUUAGAGACGUUAUGCAAUUCUACUUAUCUCAUGAUCUUGGUUUCGUACUCUAGAACUUAUUUGAAUAUUUCUUGAGACAUUUUGUUGCCAUACAAUGCUUAGGAAGUGAUUUAGGCCAUGUUUGAACCGUUUGAGCCUUUCCAACCAUCCCUUUACAUGUAUUCAUCCCUAGUCAUCCCAUUUGAGCCUACGUUAAGCCUUUCUUUGUGUAAACGAAUCCUACCAUAAUGAGCCUCUGUUUUCUUAUCCUUACUUAUUGUAUGAGCAAUUAAAGCUAUCUUCAAAAGAGAGUCAUAAAGAAUGCAAGGUUUAUAGAGCAAAAGUGAAUAAUUGGUGCCGUAACCCAAGUGUUGAAAAGAAAUAAGUUUGGGGGUAUUGGUAACUAAUCAAAAGAGGUAAUGAAGUGUGACCAAUGUAGUCACGGCCCUAGGGUGUUAUAAGGAGAACAUCAUGGUGAUCUAGGGUAAAGAGCCACAAAAUUAGGCCAAAUAAACACAUUUCAAGGUGCUGAAAUUAUGUUGAAAAUCUUCUCAUGUAUGUGUUCCUUGCUUGUUACAAAGUUCAGUACUCUCUUAUGCUCUUACCUGUGCUUUAAGUGUGCUCAAAAUAUUGUAUAUCUCAUAUCCCUUCUUUCAUUCAACCACUACCCUAAACCUCAUUACUACCCUUGUAAAGUCCUUUUGAUCCUUGGUGUUGCAUGGUAUUACUGUGGAGAGCAGAUUGGAUAAUGAGCUUAUGGGGUUCGGAAUUCUUGAUUUUGCUGUAAGUGUGUGCGCAUGUACUUAUUUGAGUUGCAGGUGUUGUUCGGAUUUGGCAUUCACACACUACACUUAAGGGUGUCAAUGCUAGCUUUGCUUUCUCGUGAAUCAUGUGUGGAACUUAGAUUGUGAUUGUUGUGUUUCUUUGGAACCAUAUACACUGAUGAUUCUUUGAGGAUAUUGUUUGGAAGGCUAGUUGCUUAUUUCCCGUUUCCUAAGUUGUAGUUUUAUUUUGUUUUGCUCGAGGACUAGCAAAAUCUAAGUUUGGGGGUAUUUGAUAAGGUCAUAAUUUCACACAUUUGCAUGCCUUCUUUGCUUAGUAAUUUUGUUUAGUUUCUCUUUAUUUUGAGUCUCUUACCUAUGUUUGUGUGUUUUGUAGGUUAGGACAGCAAGGGGAUCACAUUUGAUACAAUUCAUGCAUGUUAAGGGUUGAUUGGCACAAGAGGAAUAUGAGCUUAAUGACAGAACCAAUUUGGGCCACACUCCUUGUCAGUCCAAAUUCGUGGGUCAUCUUGCAGGCCUCAUUUCAGCAACCUACACUACUUGGAUGAGGAGACAUGCUUCACAGAAGUUGUUCCAAUGGGUGUCUAGUAUAACAUAUCCAAAUUUCAGCCCAAUUAAUGAUAGCUAGAGUCCUUGGCCUGUCAAACACUGAACCAUGCUCUAGGAGGAUUUUAAUAUGUAGCUGCCAGCUGGUGAGCCUUGUGCUCCACACCUCCCUUGAGCCAUGUGCCUCACUUCAUCAUUGUUUGACUUUGGACCUGACAUGUUGAGCAAAUUAGGGAGGCAUUUCAGUUAUGGAAGUCAAAAAGGAGCAAAACAUGGCAUGCUUAAUUAUGGAUCUUGUCUGCACAAAUCAAGGACCAUUUUCCAGGAAUUCUGGUAGGCUACACAUGGGAGACAAAUCAGUAUGGGAAGUCAAAAAGAUGAACAAAAGUCAAGCUUUCCAUAAAGAAACCAAGAAAAGUCCACCAAAGCAUUUAUUGGGCAGUUGGAAAAGUUGGCAUUUAUUGGGCAGCUUAGGCAAUUGGGAGCAGCUAAGAGAGGUGUGUUUCACCAGCCAAAGGGGAGCACGAAAUUGCACUCUAUAAAUAGAGAGUUGCACACUCAUUCAAAAGAGAGAGGGCAGACACACACAUUCACUUCAUCCAUUACUCUCAUACACAUUCAGAUUCACCACAAAGAGAGAAGGGAGCUUGGAGCUGUCCUGGGAACUACCUUGCUGCCACCAUCUAGUUCUUCUCCUCUCUUUAUCCUAUCUAUGUAUUUCUUAUUUUCUGUAUUCAUAGUUAUGUCUAACUAAUCCAUUUAGUUAGGGCUUAGGAUGAAGCCCUAGUCAUGAAUAUUCAAUGGUAUGGAUGAUUUUAUAGUUAAUUGAUUUCCUUGCUUUUAUUAUCAAGUUGUUAAUCUCCAG
rnacentral:lncRNA from 1 species